rnacentral:rRNA from 1 species
UACGUAGGGGGCUAGCGUUGUCCGGAAUCAUUGGGCGUAAAGAGCGUGUAGGCGGCUCGGUAAGUCCGCUCUGAAAGCCCGGGGCUCAACCCCGGGAGGCGGGCGGAUACUGUCGGGCUAGAGUCCGGAAGAGGCGAGUGGAAUUCCUGGUGUAGCGGUGAAAUGCGCAGAUAUCAGGAGGAACACCGAUAGCGAAGGCAGCUCGCUGGGACGGUACUGACGCUGAGACGCGAAAGCGUGGGGAGCAAACAGG